AGCUUAGCUUCUCUCACAUCUUUCUUCGCCUCCUGCUUCGUUAUUCUAUACCUUUCACCGUUUUCAUCAGUCAUAUCCUUGUAUAAGGAUGUACAAGAUAGAACCUAUGGUUGAGAUCAAAUCUAAUGGUAAAAGAAAAAAAGAUUUGACAGCCCAAAAUUAAAUCUAAUGGCUAAAAUAAUUAAGAAAAUUGUUUAAAUCAAAUUUAACUUAAAACUUUAUAAUACCUAUGUAUUUGUAUGAUUUUUAAUUACUUAUCGGAAUUUAAAUAUUUAUAUUAAAAUGUUCAUAAAAAAAUUAGGAUAAUCUACAUAAAUUUAUUUUUGAAAAAGUUUCCGAAAAAAAAAGCUAAAAUAAUUAUUUAAUAGUUUCGGUGUAAAAUUUUAAGCUAUAAGUGUUGGAGGAGAAAAGUUUUUUUUUUUUUUUAUGAAGAAGAAAUUUAUUAAAGCUUAAAACCUUUAAUACAACCGCUUUCCAUACAAUCAAAAUUAAAUGCCUCCAUAGCCGAAAUCAGAAGACAAAAAUCCCAAAAAUGUGGGUUUGUAACAGUGAAGCCCACAUGAGCUAAUGCGUCCGCCACGAAAUUAGCCUUCCUAUAAAUAUGCUUCCAACUGAUAUGCUGAAAUUCAUAAGCCAACCAUUUGAUGUCCUCUAUGAUAGGUUUAUGAUGUCAAGGGGACAUCCAAACAUCUUGCACCACCUAGAUGACAAGCUUAGAAUCCCCUUCCACCAUCAGCUUCUUCACAACUUUGUGCCUAGCCAACAAAAGCCAUUUCUUUAAAGCAACUGCCUCCGCAACCAAAAUGAUGGCGUCAUCAAGGUUCAAUGCUCCAACACCAACAGGUUGCCCUUCCUCAUUUCUAAGAACAAAAGUAGCUGCAUAA
rnacentral:lncRNA from 1 species